AGACAAUGAGCCUCGAACACGCCACAGUGACCCAGACCCUGCUCGAGCCCGGCGCCGCUCCCGAAGCUACUCCCCAAUCAGGAAGAGGAGACGUGACUCCCCCAGCUUCAUGGAGCCCAGAAGGAUCACCAGGUUCCUCUCGGAGAGCAUCGCCGCCUGCCUGGCUGCCAGGCGCUCGCAAGCGUCCCAUCCCCUACUACCGCCCCAGCCCCUCGUCCUCCAGCUCGCUGAGCACCUACUCGUACAGCCGCA
rnacentral:lncRNA from 1 species